rnacentral:rRNA from 1 species
AUACCUAUCGGCCAAUACCCGGUAGACUGACAUUACCUAUACAAGAAGCACCGGCUAACUCCGUGCCAGCAGCCGCGGUAAUACGGAGGGUGCAAGCGUUAAUCGGAAUUACUGGGCGUAAAGCGUNCGUAGGCGGUUCGUUAAGUCAGAUGUGAAAGCCCCGGGCUUAACCUGGGAACUGCAUUUGAUACUGGCGAACUAGAGUUGAGUAGAGGAGAGUGGAAUUUCAGGUGUAGCGGUGAAAUGCGUAGAGAUCUGAAGGAACACCAGUGGCGAAGGCGGCUCUCUGGACUCAAACUGACGCUGAGGUACGAAAGCGUGGGUAGCAAACAGGAUUAGAUACCCUGGUAGUCCACGCCGUAAACGAUGUCAACUAACCGUUGGGUUCUUAAAGAACUUAGUGGUGGAGCUAACGUAUUAAGUUGACCGCC